rnacentral:rRNA from 1 species
CCUACGGGAGGCAGCAGUGAGGAAUAUUGGUCAAUGGGCGAGAGCCUGAACCAGCCAAGUAGCGUGAAGGAAGACUGCCCUAUGGGUUGUAAACUUCUUUUGUAUGGGAAUAAAGUCCACUACGUGUAGUGGUUUGUAUGUACCUUACGAAUAAGCAUCGGCUAAUUCCGUGCCAGCAGCCGCGGUAAU